CCUACGGGAGGCAGCAGUGGGGAAUAUUGCACAAUGGGGGAAAGCCUGAUGCAGCGACGCCGCGUGAAGGAAGAAGUACUUCGGUAUGUAAACUUCUAUCAGCAGGGAAGAAAAUGACGGUACCUGACUAAGAAGCUCCGGCUAACUACGUGCCAACAGCCGCGGUAAUACGUAGGAGGCCAGCGUUAUCCGGAUUUACUGGGUGUAAAGGGAGCGUAGGCGGUUUAGCAAGUCAGAAGUGAAAGUCCGGGGCUCAACUGCGGGACUGCUUUUGAAACUGUUGAACUAGAGUGCAGGAGAGGUGAGUGGAAUUCCUGGUGUAGCGGUGAAAUGCGUAGAUAUUAGGAGGAACACCAGUGGCGAAGGCGGCUUACUGGACUGUAAAUGACGCUGAGGCUCGAAAGCGUGGGGAGCAAACAGGAUUAGAUACCCUGGUAGUC
rnacentral:rRNA from 1 species